UCCGUCCUUGUUGUUGCAACCGAACGCAAUACAGUAAACCAUUCUUUGUAAUGUAAUGGACAACUCACAAGUCAACGGCAGUAGAUUAGCUGCAAUAUUACUUCUACGUAGUGAAAUUAUAGUCUCUACUCGCACAUUACAACAUGCCCUAUUCAGUCAGCGUGACCGUAUCAGGUCGUUUUCAGUCACGGCAUUUGUUCCGCCCAGUCAACCUUGUACCCGUAUGGCCUGAGGUAAUAGUAAAUGACAUUACCACGCAUCGUAGACGGCUCACACCCAAGGACGCUCUUAGUGAGCAUCCAAGAUACUGUGUUAUUAGAUGCUACAUCCUUUCAAAUUCUGACUGAUCCUCGAUAUAUCCUCGCUAAACAGAGCAACAUACGCGAGUAAGAUAUUGUUACGUCAUCAUUUCAAAAUGGCGACUGCCAUAAGGUUACGCCCCAUGUUCGAAGCUCAAUUUCUCCGUUCAGAAAGAGUUGUAUUAAGAAAGAAAGGUUUGACACAAUUGACGCCUGUACAUGUAAGGAGCAAAAAAAGGAAAACCUUGUCAUUGAAAGAAUGCAGCUGCAGGGGAAGAGACCAGCGCAUAAAGGUUCUGCAAGAAUUGACAUGUAAUGACUUUGUUGAGGACACAUGCACAGAAAAUUACUCUCACUGAGAAGAGCCAAGCCAAAGCAUUUUGCAGAGGAGAGUAAUAUUAGAGACACAUGAUAAUGACACUUACAAGUAUUAGAUAAUAUUUUAGUUAUAACUGAUUAAUAAUUAAUUAUAACUAAUUAUUAAUUAAUUAAUAGCUGAUUAUUUGUAAUAGCUGCACUACGUAUAGUAAAAACCACGUUACCAUUGUGUUUUAGCCAGCCUAUGUUCAUUCACUGUGCUUACAGGACCGCGUUAAAUCUACUUAUCAAUCAGAUAUGUGAUUAUAGGACUGCGUCUGACCUUCUCUUGAAUCAUAUAGGGUGUGAUUAUAAGACUGCCUCUGACCUUCUCCUGAAUCAUAUAGGGUGUGAUUAUAGGAUCUGUUUCAUGCAUAUCUCAUGGGUGUGAUUUCUAAGAACCCAAGAAUUCAAUCAGAAAUCUAGUACAUGAUUACAUAUACUGUUUUACCUGUGUGGUGAUUGGUUGCCGAUUGCUUUGUCAAAGUUAUUUAGAUAUCAAGAGAGCAAAUAGAAGAGCCUCGUAAACUGCUGCUGAAGUUUUAUCAAAUUUAUGAACUUUUAUAUGGCACGAAAGCAGUGAAAGUACACCUUCUGCAGCGUUUGCCGGAUGUUGUAGAGAAGUGGGGUGCUUUGUGGGGUCAUUCCUGCUUUUGGUAUGAAUCCCUAAAUGGAUUUCUUAAAAGGUUUGUACACGGCACACGAUUUGUUUGCAGCCAGGUUGCAUCAAUUGUUAUGAUCAUUAAGACCAUUUCAGAUGUGCUACCAUCACCGACUGACCAGCUAUUAGCACCACCUGUAGUUCGUUUGGCUACAAAAUUUGGACUGAUGUGGUCACCUUUCGAAGUGAAAGAUUGUGUGAAAGUUUUUUGUCUACCGGAUCUGUUUGUUGACCCAAUCAAUGUUGUUUUGAGGAGGCUUGGCAACGAGAAACUUUGUUGUGGUUCGCCUGUCAAAACUGUUGGGAGACUGAAACUAGCUGGUCAUGUGAUACAAUCAAAGAAAAGUCACGUGACAAAGAAAAAUUCUUAUAAUGUCGAAUUUACCGAAUGUCAUGAAGAACAGCCGUUGUUUGGUUAUGUAUUACUCUUUAUCAUUUUUGGAUGUGAACGGUUUUCUGUCAUUCAACGGCUUAAUUAAAAUGGAGAAGUGGCCAUUAUUGCAUAAUGACGAUGACUGCAUGACUGAUGUUGUUGAUGCUUAGAGUAAUCUUCGGGAGCCGAUCGGAAAGCAUUUAAUUCCUUCUCAAGAGACUCGGGACUUGGUAGCAAUUCCUGUAGGAGACAUAACAGCUCAAGUAGUCUGUAUGAAAAUGUUAGGUUUAAGCUGUAUUUUUUUGUGUCUCGAUUUCUUAACAUUAUCGAGUGUGAUCGAGUUGUGAAAUACUCAAGAAAUGGUCUCGAGCCGAUUGUGUGUGCACAU